AGGAAGAUUGGCAAGAGUUGUUAGCUCAGAUGCCAAUGUUUAAAAGCAAAAAACCCAAAAACAUCAAGUUGGUUGGUAGAGUUUCCCAGAAAAGGUACAUAAAAUACUCACAAGUAGCUGAUUAAUUAGGAUGUAUUUAGCUGCAAGUCGUAGAAAAUGCAAUUCAGUGGCUUGAACCAGUGUUUCUUCAAUGUUGGGGCUUAUCCAAAUCACCUGGAGUGUGUAUUAGACCAGAUCGCUGGGCUGGCUCCUGGACUUUCUUUUCGGUGGUCUGGAGAGGGGCCCAGAUUUGCAUUUCUGAUAAUUUCCCAGGUGAUGAUGAUGUUGCUGGUGUGGGACCACACUUUGAGAACCACUAAACAGUAAAGGGAUUUAUGAUCUCGCAUAACAAGUUCAGGGUUAGGUUACUUAGGCAGCUGAGUGACAUCAUUGGGGGCACAGGAGCUUUUCAUCUUCUCAGUCAGCCAUCCUCAGGAUCUUGGCUUUUAUCUCAGUGUUACAAGUGUUUAUCUCAGUGUUAUCCCCUUGUGUUUAUAACAUGGUCGUAGCAGCUCCAAACAGCACAUCUUCCCAUAAUAAUAUCCAAUAAAGACAGUUUCUCUUCCUUGGUCCAUUUUUGGAGUGAUGCAAACAGUCCCAGAGCCCCCCACCCCUGGCCAGCACCACCCCACUUCUCAUUGACCAGAACUGGGUCCCCUGCCCAUUCUAACAUUGGUCCCUGGGAAAGGAGCAUGUGCUGUGGUUGAUUUACAGUAAAUGAGAUUCACCCUCUGUGGCUGGGAAGCAGUCAGCAUCCCCUGAAGCACCAGGCUGCAAGAUAUUGAACGAAGGGUGGGUGUUGGUAACCAGCACUGAGAAGGGGUGGGGUCUUGUCAGUAGUAGCUGACAGUGUCCGCGACGGCUGCAGAAAAUGAGCAUGUGAUCAAAACCAUUUUCCAAUGCAAUUAUACCUCAAAUAUGGGGUCUCCAUUUGUGGUGCACGUACUCCCAAUCUCCAGGGAUUUUGGAAGGGGGAUUUCUAAUACAGUACAACUAGAAUAAGACGAUAAAUUUAGCCUUAUCAAAAACACAAUAGUGAUGCUGGCCUGUGUUUACAGAAUUGUCCUUUUCAAGACUCCAGCCAUCAUUCUACCGCUCUGUUCUUCGUGUGUGUUUGUUUUUGUUAUUAAAUUCGGUGCAACAUUGGAAGCUAUUUUAUGAAAGAUCAAGAUACAAAGGAUGGAAAAUUGGGCUUUGAAGGUGCAUUAAAGUGAGGACUGCUUAGGCUAGAAAGGAGGAAGCUGCGGUGAUUUAUUGGGAUCGGUUAUGUUAGAGGCUAUGGCAAGAAAAAGAUGUGUCACUGAACUUCUCAAAAGAAGAUAUAACCAGAAAAUGGGACAAAAGACACGAAAAUACGUUCAUUUUCCACAAGGAAUAAUUUGAUAAUAAUGAAGAUUAUUAAAUACGAAUAUUGACGUCAAAAGAAUUUUAGAUGACAUUCCUUGGAGGCCUUAAAAAAGAGGACUUUGUAGCCAUCUUUCUUUGAAGGGACGGGAGAUUGCCAGGUCAGCCAUGCAAACUCGGCCAGCCCUUCCCACCUGGCCGCCACAUCACCCGACUCCACGGUCGGGGGUGUCGCUCUUCUUGGUACUUGCGUCAACAGCACCCCGGACUUGUGCAGGGCACAGCCUCAAGCCCAUAUAUCCUCGUCCUGUUUCUUGUCCUGGCGUCUCUGAGGAUUAGGGUACUACUUAGUUUUGGAUUUAAGCAGGGAAAAGAGAAUUCUUCUAGUGUGUCUUACACCUAGUUUACUAUGUUGUGAAAGUAUGCAACAGAGCAGUGUUUAAGAGUCUGAAGGAAAGAUCCGAAAACUUGACGGAGAGAUCAGGACCCUAGCUCAUUGCUGACCAUCCUCUACCUCUAUAAAAUCAUGCUCAUAGAGCAUCUCUAAAUCAUGGCACUUCAAGAGAUCAUAAAGUACACUGCAGCCAAAGUGACAGAAUGACCUUUAUAAAAUGUGUGUGUGAUCAUAUCUCCAUCUUGGUUAAAAAUUCUCCACCCCCUCCCCCACCGCCCAUCUUAUAGGAAAGGUCGCAAUUCCUCAGCCUAGUAGACACAAAGUGCUUUGUGAUCUGCUCUCCACUUGCUUCUUUAGGCUCACCUUCAUGGCCCUCUCUCCCGUGUCCCACGUCUCCUGCAUGUCCACGCCUAAUCUUACGAAAUCAUGUGAAUUGUACCCUGUUUGCAUACAGAAGAAAACAUAUAACGAAACUGAAAGAAUUGCUGAACCUGAAAUAAAUGUUAUUUAUCUGGAUAUAUUAUUUCCUAAAAGAUCCCUGAAGAAAAUUUAAUGCAAAAUAUUAGAAGUAUUUUUAAAAUAUACUUCUAAACGUUACACAUCAUUCCUUCACUUCUUCCUUCAAAAUCUGAGGCCAUUCAUGUUCUCAUUUCCUCUCACCACCCCUUUCCUCUUUUCCCUCCUUAUAUUUGUUAGUUACAUUAUUAUUAUUACACUGUCAAGGUAAAAAAAUUACAUUUCUUCUGUAAUACAAUUCACAUGGCUUUAAAAUAUUCAGCCUUUAUUUAAAUUGACUCAUUUCCUGCCGCUGGUCCUUUGAACACGCUUACUUUCUGAGCCAUCUAUUGUCUGGGUUUUGUUACUAAAAACAGAAAACUCAAAACUUUUUUCAAGAAACCUUUAUGCUGCCUGAGUUGUCUCAUAUCUGAGAAUAUGUGCCUCUUGCCUUUCUAGAUGAGGAAUAAAUUGGUUGGGUAGAAUAUCCUUGGGGCACAUGUUCUUCUCUCAAGAACUUCAUAUGCAUUCCUUGAAGUUGGGAAGCUUCACCAGGAUGUGUCUCAGUCUGGAGCGUUUUAUUUCAAAUGCCCUCGGCAAUACCGUGAACUCUGCAUUUGCAGAGACAGCUUUUUCCUGAUGUCAGGAAAAUGUUCUUCUGUUACACCUUUGAAUACUUGUUAUUUUUAAUUUGUUGAGUUCUCCACUUUAGGGACACUGGUUAUUUUGAUGGGCUUUAUCUUUGACACAUCUUCACAUCUGUGACUUUACCGUCUCUCUGUUUCUUACCGUCUUUCUCUUGUUUCGUCUGCCUGUGUCCCUGAGUCGUUGACGUUUUCUCUGUGUCCGUGGUUGAAGUUUUGGUGGAUCCUCCCUGUUCUUUAUGUUUCUAAUGUACGUGUUAGUGCGGAAUCAGUGUUGAUUUGGUCCUCAAUUCAUUGUCUUUAGAACUACAUUCCCCCUUUUCAUCGUAUCUUGAUUUUUGUUUACUAAUUCAUUUUUGAGCUCUUCAUUUAUUGAAUCCAGAGUUUCUCUGAAUGGCUUCUGAGUUUGAAUCACUUCGGGGAGGUUGGGCUUGUUAAAGGUACCCGGCACGCUCUCUCUUCUAGCUAGCUUCUCCCCCUCUGUACCCUCUCCCAGUGUUGGCAACAGAGGUCCUGAACUCGUCACCAAAUGUUAGUCCUUUUUUGACUGUGCCUUUGCAUAAAAAAUUCUCUUUGCCUGGGAGUGUUGAACGCUCCUUCCUUACCUGGAAAUUUGUACUCAGUCUCCACGAUGACUCCAUCAUGUGACUCGGUCAGGAUAGGCUGGGUGGUGCUCCAGUGGCAAUCAACUCCCAGAUCUCAGAAGCUUAUUCCUCACUCACAGUAACUUCUCCAAAGUGAGUGGGCAGAGGUGGGGGAGGACCGGAGUCUAGCUUUCUGGAGUCCCCAGGGACCCAGCUGAUGGAGGCAUCAUUGUUUGCUCCACAAUCGCUGUACACUUGAUAGGACACACGGCCGAUUGUCCACUGCCUCUUAAAACUUACACUCAGAAGCGAGACAUGUUGCUUCUCCUCAUUUUCCUUGGCCAGAGCUGAUCCUAUGGCCGCAUCUUCAAAGGGGAUGGGGAGCAACAUUACCAUGUGUCAGGAGGAGGAAAUCCAGAAAUAUCUGGUGAACAGUUUUAGUGACAACACCACCUGUAUUCAGCUCACUAAACAGAGCUAGUUACUCACUUCUCCGGGCUCCAAAACACUCUGCUCACCCCUCUGUUAUAGCAUCUUCCGAGCCUAACUGUAUUAUCUGAUUACAUCCGUUUCCUCCGUGAGGGAGCUCCUUGAUGGGAAGGAUCACGUUGCAGAGACAGGAGCUGCCCAAACUCUGCUGCCAUCGCUGCAAAGCCACAGUGCUAAGAUAUUUACCUACGUUCUCGUUUCACAUUCACAAACCCUGUGGGCUAAGGAGUAUUCUGGACACGGAAGCUCAGAAAGAUUAAACGACUUGCUCAAGGUCAGCCAGCUAAUAAACAGCGAGUCAGAAUUCAAAGCCCUUAUUCCAGGUCCCGGCUCUUUCCCGCUGUGUUUUGGUGGAGAUAACUCAACACGUGAUACAUGGGAGGCACUCAGCGAGUAUUUGUUGACUAUUUUGAAUGACUACAUGUGUCUCAUAUGCCACUAUAAUGGGACCAGACUAAGUGAGUUCGUCGUUUUGAAUGAUUAAACUGUAUACUUGCAUUAUUUUCCAAUAGCUUGUAUAUUGGCCUUAUGAAGGCAUAAAGUUCCUCAGGGAAUUAAUAUACCUUCUCUGAAUUAUAGUAAGUGACCAAUAUUGAAUCCCAGCACUCCCCCACCACUUCAUGUGGAUGGGAAUUACAUUUUGCUACCUAUAAUCAGAGAAGUCAAAACAACAAUGCUUUAAACAUAUAAACGUCUAUUCUCUCAGGUAAAACUAGAUCAAAUGUGGGCAUUCCAAGGCUGGUGGUGUUUCCAUCAAAUUUCCUGGGACCAAGGUUCCCUGCCAUUUAGCUCUGCCAUCCUCAGUGCACAUCUUCUGUCUUCAAGUUUGCUUCACGGGCCAAUGUGGCUCCUGCAGCUCCAGCCAUCACAUUUGCUUUACCAACAAGACAGAUGAAUAGGGAAAGCGGAAAAACAGGGCCUCUCCUGGCUUAGUCAGCUACUUUAUAAGUGAACCUUCUCUUUAAGUCUUGCAGCCUGGACUUUGGACAUAUGUAAAAGCUGCAAGAGAAGCUGGGAAACAGACUUUGAACUGGGAGCAUUGCACCCCAAAAUGAAACCAGGCUCUCAGUCUAAGAGGGGGGAGAAUGACAACUGGGUAGACAAAAGCAGACUCUGACACAUCGUAUAUCUGGAUCUAACUUCAAACACAGCUGCUGCUUUUGCAUUAACUUGAUCACAUGUUUUGAUUUUUAAAAUAUACGUCUUUUAUUGGGUUUCCUUCUCUUUCAAGGGUUUGUAAAGUAGUGUGACUGAACUGAACGAAGGCCUCAGUCCAGAGGCAGGUGGCUGUGGACCGUAAUAAAAGCAUGGAGCGUGGCGGACUGAUGAUUUAACUAACACGAGGUUCCUCUGACCUGUGCGACACUGGAUGAGAAAUAGAUGUGUGGAUGUGUCUGUGAAAAACGGCAUAACCUGAUUUUGGGAGAACAGCUCUGCUUUCUCAGGGAAAAGCGCACAAAUUUAAAAUUACUAAGAUUACACGUGAACCUCAAUUCUGGUAGCAUGUAACCGAGCCUGGUCCCUCUCUCGGCUGCCCGGAGGCAACAGGGAAAUUCGUUGAAAGCUAAUUCACCACAGGAAUCACUGGGCCUUGCAGAAAAUGCACUCGGCUCUCCCUCUCGGAAGACAUCGGCGAGCGCUGCCAUCCCCACCAGCUGUGCAGACAGUUGCCUUCAAGUAGUCGAGAAAAUGAGUCACGGUCUGGGCCUGCAUGGCUGAAACACGUCACCGAGAAUGCUUCCCUUCUCUGUUCAUCUCUCCAGCAAGUGUUUAUUGUGCAUCUCCUCCACGUCUGGGGUUCCUCCAGGCCCUGGAGAUGUGUGUGAAGAACUUGAGCCUCUGCACUCACAGAACUAGUGAUGAACAAAUAAACACAAAACAUGAGUUGAAGACAAACAAGACAGGGGAUAAGGACAGAGGGGGCUAGUGUUGGGGUGAACGGUGCCAGCAUUAUUCCUAUUGGGGUUCAGAGAAGGCCUCUCUGAGAAGGUGACACUUGAGCAGAGCUCUGGGGGGCCCUCUGUGUGGAUAUUCAGAGGAAGAGCAUCAAAGGCCUAGGGACCAGCAUGUGCAAAGGCCCUGGGACAGGAACAUACUUGACAAAUCGGAAAAACAAGAAGGAGGCCAAAGAUCGGUGCCUGCUCUUUUCACACUUUUUACAGUUCACUAUUUAACUCUCACUUUAAAUGAGAAUCAGUUAUGCAAAUAGCCUAUCUAAGUUUUGCCAUUUAAAUGUGAUCAUUAAGAGUUUUGCUUCACUGCAUAAUAAGAAUGAGUGGAAUCGGAGAAAGGACAGCAUUAAGCAAACAAACGGGAAACUUCCUUGGCUUCAGAGAGCUGUUCUUUUGGGAUGCAGGUAUAUCCCAUGAGAAGGGGCAGGACGCGGGUGGGCUGGACACGAGUCCUGUGUGUUGUGUCUUCCUGCAGAGGGAAUGUGUGAUGCCCACGCACGCCGGAAGGGCUGUAAGUGAAACAUCAGGCCGUAGUGCAGCUCUCGGAACCCGGUUUCUGCUGGGGGACCUGCCUCAGCUCUGCCGCUUCCACAAAGCACCUGGUUUCCGCAGUGACCCGGUGGUGCAACGACUGUCUUCGCUGAAGGACAGUGCGUAGGAGCCAAGGUUCUCGGCUGCUGAGCAUGGUCGUGGCACGUGGGCGUGUGCCCAUAAGCUGUUGUCUGUGGCCCGGCCCGUGCCCGCCGUGAGCAGCUGGUCUCUGCUGCAGGAGAAUGCCUGUGCUGUCUCAUCUGUCUCCAUCGCGGGCUAACCCCACGGAGGACUUCUGACGACAUCCACGGUUGAAGUGAGUUGGGUCCUGUCCUAGCAAGAUCUCGAUGCUGAUGUAUUCAUCAUCCCACAUGUAAGAUGGUUCAUUUUGUGAGUCAGUGUAAGCAAAACUUACCAGGCUGCAUAUUUUCCUUAUCCGCAGAUAUAAUCAUUGUUAUUGCCUUAUUGGUGUCUUGGUCAUCAUCGUCUGAUAGGAAGUGAUGUCUGAUGAAAAGGUCCACGCUGUCCAAAGGAAGGCACAACACCAAAGUCAUUGUCCCUGUUCUCCCACGGUGAUAAGCAUUGACUGACACGCUGAGGGCGGGAGAUGGGCACGUCUGUUAAAAUAACCAGAGACAAGGUUUAAAACAAGUGCCAUCUCUCCAGCUGUGCUUUUACAGGACACCUCGCUCCACCAUCCCACCCGCCAUGCCAAGGGUCACCCAGACACCGUGAUGCUCAUUGCCACUUUGCAAGAUUAAAGAGAUUUGCUGUGUCACUGUGUCAUGCUGGGUGCGGGUGAACAGGUUUCCCCUGAAAAGUAACAGAGGCCAGUAUUUUGUGACGGCAACAGACGACACACACUGGGACCGUCUCUAGGAAGCUCCUUGAUCCUGGCAGGUGUGUUCACAAGACCUCUCAGACUCCUUGCAUCAGAGGAAGGGCAGCCUCUGCUGCCACAGAGCUGGGCCCUCCCUAAAGAACCAUCACUGGGGUGGUAGCAGCCUUCGGGCUGGCCAGGGCACCUGCCAGCAAGGGCUCCGGGUGCUGCCACCCAGCUUGGCUCUUGCAUCCCACUGGCUGCUCUUAGCCCACUGAGCUGGGUUGGGUUUAUCCCCAAACACCGAGCCCAGCCUGGGCCCUUCCUCUGUGCCACAGCCGCUCCCUGUGGAGGCACAAGUAAGGGAAGGAUGCCCACUGCCCUGGGCUCAGGAGCCCGUGCCCACUGCCCCGUUUGCAGCCCUAACAGGGCCCCAUCAGCCACAGGCUGGGCUGUCAGGAUCCUUUAGAGAUGUCAGGCUUCUCCCUGGCCCGCAGCCAAGAUCUUGUUUACUGCUCUCAAAGCAAACCCGAGCUCCUUCCUCCCGUCCGGUCCAUUUUUCGAAAACAUUAAGCUCUUGGCUCACAGUCAGUGCUUCCUGCUUUCAUCUGUGAGGGCCAGCAACAACCAUGUCCGGCCAGUGGCCAGAGGCAGCUUACCGCUGCCCCGGAGGAGGCGCAGAGGCCCCUGCACAACCAGGUCUGCGCUCGGUGCUUCGAUGGCUGUGCUUUCCCUUGUCACCCACCCCUUCCAGGUACUGGAAGUUGGUCGACUGUUGAAGACGCCAUACAAAGGGCAGCAUGUGUAACUCGGGCCAGGGGAUAUAGAAUUAAACUGAGACCUCUGCAUCUAGUUCAAUCACGCAGUCCCCCAGCUUGGCUGGACACCACAUCUGCAACAUGGCGGCCCCUGGGGUUGUCCUCCAGUGUUCUCCUAAGGCCUGGAGUCACUCCCCCUCCUGGCACCCACUAGAAGCCUAAUUGAAUGCGGCAGGAAGCAGUCACGAGAGCCUUUUAGCAUUUCUCCUGUCUUUCAAUUGUGUACUUUCUCAACAGGAAGCAAAGCUGGUGGGUUCAGAGAGUCAGGGCCCCUCCCUUCCACUUAACCUUCCCCUGCACAUGCAUUCCAAUUUCAAAGGUAUGUUGUUUUCCUUCCACUAAAAGUUUUGUCCUAAUUACCUGGAGGCAUCCAGGUGUGGCUGAAAAUAUGCUCAACCCCUGGAGUAAAAACCCACACCUAAGGGCAGCGAACGGAGGGGCAGGGCCGCUGAGUGCUGAGAGCAACCUGUGGCUGUUUACCUGGUGACUCAGUCAGGAUGCAGAGGCCAGAUGGCUGGCACCUUGCAAAGGCCCACGGGUGCUUUCGUUUGAUUGCUUAAGAGUAAGUUCCCCAGAAAGGGGGUUUCACACGUCCUCACCCUUUCUGUAGCACUGGAGGUUCCUUACACUGCUCUUUGAGCUAUUAUCUUGGGGAAUAAAAUAGAACUUUUCAUUAUGUUUCCCUGGCAUUCAAGGUUGGGUAGAAAGAUGAGAGUUUCAAUUAUUGAACUGCAUCAAGGUGCAAAGUGAGAAGUUGGCAGUCUGCAACCCAGAAGAGGCCCUUGCAGAACCGGCUGUGCUGGCACCAGGAUCCCGGACCUCCAUCCCCCAGAAUUGUGAGAGGACAUCGCUGCUGUCUGUAAGCCGCCCAGCGUAAGGUGGUUUUGUUAUAGCCUGAACAGACUAAGACAUGUGUCAGGUACCCGGUUGUGAUCAGCACGUGGAAGUGGCUGAACUGAUGCUAUAUGAGUACAGUUAACACUAACAGACAGCAAAAAGGGAUGGAGUGGGCUCCCCUUGGUCUCUAGUAAUGGAGACUGCAGGUAACUCUCCCAGGGCCCGGGAGAGAAGCCCAGGAGCCUUGAUCCGAGUCCCACACAGGGCGAACCUCCCCCGGCUUCUUGCUCCUCAUCAGCAGCAGGUAGAGGGGAGAGCUCGGAGACUUCUGCUGUUUUUGCGAGAUAGGAAGUGUGCGUGAAGGCGCUCUGUGAAGAGUGAGUGAGGCGCUGUCCCGCGUGAGCAUCAGAGCGGCAGAGGCGGCAAAGAGGAGUGUCGGCAAGCCACGUUGCUCUGCUUUGGUGCACACCUGAAACCACGCCUUCGAGCCUUUUCCUGAAAGGUGAAGAAUCUGUUUCAUUUCUUUGAAGGUUUCUCUUUGGAAGAACUUAAGUCAAAUGUCAUUUAAUGCUAUGUAAUUGUGCUUCUCAAAUGUUAACGUGCACACAGGUCCCUGGGGAUGGGUUAAAAUGCAGCUUCUGAUUCACUGAGUCUGGGGUGGGCCUGAGUCAAGCUCCCAGACGAUGCUCAUCUGCAGGUCUGGGGUCCACACUUUGGGUAGCAAAGCACAGAGUGAGUGGGAAACGCAUCCUGGGAAGAGAAGCUAUCUCUUAAAAGUCAGUGACUCCGCUGUCUUCCAUUCUCUCUCAAACUCUGCCUUUCCCAGUGGGCACCACAGUAGGGCUAAUGAACCAGAGUGGAAUAGGGCCAUCGACUUGUGACUUGGCACUAGGGUAUCUGUAACCAGUCAUCCAAGCAUCUCUCCUCUGAGACUGAAGUGCUGAGGGUCUUGGCCCCACUGGGUGCCUCCAAGGCAGGAUGGCCUGGAUCAUCCUGGCAUGGAUCAUUCCAUUGUCCCACCGAUGAGCCCACCCAGUGGAAGGGGUCUCUGCACAUCUACCCAGACACAGGACAAGGAGCCUCCGCGGUGAGUAACUAUAUUUUUCCUCAGCAUUUCCUAUGUCACCCACGUGUCACAGAGGUCCAUGCAAGAGGUGCUUCCUGGAGUUUGGGGAGAAAUGACGAGCAGUCCUGCAAAGUCAAGGUGUAACAUUACAGAACCCUGGAGUUGGGAGAGGCCCCGGAUAGAACUGAGUCCUACUUCCUUCUCAGUGCAGAGAGCCCGGGAUGACCUUCCUGACAGGUAGUUGGGCAUUGCCCUCUCCUGGAGUUAUUCUUGUGAUGGGGAUUGGCGACGUUGCACAGGCUGUUCCUCCGCUAGAGACCUCAGCUCCAGCUGACGAACAUUUCUAAGAGAAUGCUGAUUCCCAGGCAGAGCUCAUGCUGCAAGGUGGGCAGGCUCCACCUGCAGCUCCGGGAUGGACAACUCAGCCUCUGUCUGGCUGUCGAGUGGUUUGGGACUGCUGCGACGGCAUCCGAGGGAGUUGCGGGCUCGUGGAAGGGGUUUCCCAGCCUUACUGAGAGGUCUUCUAGAAGUGACUCACCCAGUGGACUUAAGUAAGUUCUCAGGUGAUCAGCCCAGGACUCCAAGAGGAGCCAGCCUGGGAGGGAAGCUACUGAGGAUGGAUGAGCAGAGAAAUGGAGGGAACCUGAGACUGACGGCACGGUGGCCUCCUGGCUCCUCCAGUGAUGGAGCAAGCCCUGCCUUCGGACUUAACAGUCAUAGGAGCCGCUACAUUUCUUUAUUAAUUAAACUAGUUUAAUUCAGGAUUUCUGCCAUCCUACCUGGCACACACACAGUAUGCAGGAGAGAAAUAUUGUAGACAUAUUUCCAAGGAAUUAGUCAACCGUGAAGGAAUUUCUGAUGAUACAGCUGAUAUCUGGUAUGGCAGUCACCUUUCCAUGGCACCCUAAACUCUCAUCGCAAUGAAUCCUGACCUUCAGUAAUCUCUUCUGAAUUUUAUAAAUAAAUGCUAAGUAGGGAAAUAGAGUAAGUUUCUUUUCAGUCAAUCAACUGGGUUUAUUUAUUUAUACUGGUAUCUACGUCCACAUGUAAAAAAUCCAUUAUAUAAAUUUUGAAAUAAUCUGCUCCUUGAUAUAUAAAUUUAGUUGCCUUCAGUACAGAUUACCAGUUGUACCAAGAUUAUGCAUUUUAUAAUUUAAAUCACACUUGAUUUUAUAGGGAAUAAAGAGUUCUCUAAAAUCACAAAAAAAUAUGUUUAUUUAACAUAACUCGAGAAGUUCAUGGAAACAGUCCAAAUUAUAAUUCAAAGUUGAAAAGGAUACAUUGGGCUAAAGUGUCUAAAACCUGAGGAAGAAAGCAUGACUUAAUUUCAUUGUCUUGGAUGGUAGGUCUAUUAAACGUAUGUACUUAACUAGAAAAUCAGCCCUGGCCUUAUUAGAUAUCUUAAGCCCUACUAAGAAUCUUCAAUUUUUAAAAAAUGGUAUUAAAAGUUGCAAAUCAGGACACAAAGUCUGCGAAUGGGAUAGGAUGUUGGAAUCUGAACCCUGUUGAACAAUUUCACACAGUGAGUGGUCAGAUCUCUGAUGAUCCCCUCAUAUGUAUAAAUUCAUACAUAAAUACAGGAAUUAAAACGAGUCAGCUCAUUCAUAAAAUAUGAGUUGUUUGCGCAUGUUUUCCAAGCACUGCUGGGAAAAGAAAAAAGGGACAGAAAGAAGUAGGCUCCUGAAAGAGGUGACUUGCGUUGGAGAUAAUCGUCGGACGACUUUGCAGCGAUUCUCCCACAGUGCACGCCCUCACCCAGCGCUGCCCGGCCCGCCUUGGUGGGCAAGAAGCGGUGCCCUUUCUCAAGGCCAUAUUAAAGCGCACGUUCCCUCUGACGACGCCAGUGAAGGCAGGACUGGCGUCUGCUGCCCACCUGGGAAAGUUUUAAUGGUUGAACUCUGCACAGCCCGGCUGGGCGGAGCAGCGGGAGAUGAAGCGCCUCUGCAGAACCAACCAGCCUGCAGGCAUUCCCGAGCUGAGGAAAACACUUUAAUUAAUAUGUAAAACAGCAGUGGGAAGAAGAGCCAGGUUAAUGUUCAAACUACAUCACUACGGGCAGCGUUCAGGUUGUGAAACCCGGGGACACUUAACAGGAGUUCCAGUCUAAAGGCGCAGACGGGCUGGUGUGCGUGAGCAGCAUCUGAGGUGCUGGAAGCCCUUUUAUCUACCCCCCACCCCCCACAGUGGUAUUCCUCUUUCUGUGCUUAAAAACAUUGCCUUUGACUUGCACACUGCUGUUUUUAAUUUGCAAGGCACCCUCCACUUACGAAACCACCGAGGGCUGCCAGUGGCUGCAGGCAACUGUUUGGGCCCAGCCUGAAAGCAGCAUGGACCUGGGAGAGCGGCUGCCUAACGCUGCUCUGCGCGGGCGGGAAACGUCCUGCGCUUGCCUGGGCCGAGGUCACGAACUCUGACCUGGGCAGAGUGUCGCACAUCCUCGCUGGGCAGGAAUCCACGUCCGGCUGAGCCCUGAUCCUUCAAGGGGGGCGGUAUGUGAAGACACGGAGCUGACAGGUCUUCCCUGGAUUGAACUGGAACAGCUUCAUUCAGUGUCUGAACGAUUAACCCACUUAAAGAGCAGGUGCAGCGGCCGGAAGACUCACGGCAUCUGAACACGCGUGUGCCUUUGACUCUCCCUCUUGAGGGCUCACAGGUAACUCGAGAGCAAGGUACCUUCGAACUGGCCCCCCCUCCUUAAUCACCCUGCGAGGGAGGAGCCAGAGCUUGGAAGUGAUGCCGUGUUCCUCCUGCCUCUCAGGAUCCAGUAAAGUACCCUGUCUGGCCACUAGACAGCCAAGCAUCUCCAAAAUAAGGACAUUUUCUCGGGUCACAGACUUCUUUUAAGAAUUAAAACUUUCCUAGGAAGAAAUCUAUAUUUCUUAUUUGCACAUGUAUGCAAAAUUUGCAUACAUUUUCAUGGUUUUCCACCUACCCUCUUCUGGCCCAGUUAAGACCUCUCCUCUGGAGUCCCACCUGUCCCACCUCCUCUGCCUUUGUCUCCAUUUGGAGCUCCACUCACGCCUGUAUCUCGCCUGGGUUGUUACUAUAACCCCUGGCCUUUGGCAAGGGUUUCCUUCCUCUCCGCCAUGCUGGCAGAGCUGUCUGUCUGCAGGCCCCAGGGCUCCCCGGGGAUCUGCAGAAGAAAGCCAGAGCACCAGCCUGGCAUCGCAGUCCUGUGGGGUUCCUCUCUUGCUAGGGGCCUGCCAGAUACCUUGCGUUUCCGUGGACUUGCUCACGCUGCCCUCCUGCUUCUUCCAGUACAUCCUCUUGGCUCUCUUUAUAAGUCCCCUCUCCUUCUCCGACUAGAUAGCACAUAUUUUCCUCUGAGGCUCAGGCCAUUCUCACUCCCGCUGGGAACAUUCCUUGCUCCUCUGAUGGAAUCCUAUGCCUCCCAGAUAUAGACUGGAGCACCCUGGGCCUACCUGGGUCUAACAGCUCAGUGUUGUCACUGUUGGCUGAGCGUCUGCCUCCUUCAUUUGACUUUGAGCUUCUGCAAUCACAGUUUCUGUCUUCUGUGUUCUCACGUCUAAAGAUCCCAGGACAGUGGCAGCCCCUGAUUCCUACAGGGAGGACGGUGAUCUGUAGGAGGUGGUGAUCUGGGGAGGGCACUUGUUUCGAAGCUGAAUUUCAUAGCAAGUACAAUGUUCUAACUUACAGUCAGUGUAUACUAGGGGUGGCGUGAAGGGUUGAUGGAGAACAUACAGGGCAGGGGUUAAAGCCCCUGUCCCUACCCUCCACCACCCCCUUGGGUGUUGCUCCUGUCCCUGUACGCAGCCACACUGCCAGGCACGUAAGGUGCUCGCUGCACAUUUGUGGGAUGCACAGAUGAAGAGAUGCUUGGAGGCUCAGAGGAAUGGCUCUGGAGAGACACAGUGCAGACCUAUGGGUGGAAGAAGCCAAACCCAGGAGUCGGAAGUCAGAGCCUCUAGCCGCCCUCUGCCCCGAGCCACAUGAUUUCUCUAUCUCCGUCUGUCUGUCUGUCUCUCACACAUACCUAUACCCAUGAGCCUCCCCACCUUUUCAAGGAUGUUGCCUCGUAGGCUGUCCUGUGUUCCAUUGCUUUGUACUCAUUCCUCUACUCAGUUAUCAAGCACGCCACAGGCCCCUCCCCUGGGACAGGCCCUCCUCCAGGCUCUACAUUAACCACCGGACACCAAGCUCUUUAUCCCAUGGUGUACCCCUCACCCCAGGACCACUGCUUGUGGCUUCUUAUUCACUUUCCCCUUUGUUCGGCUCCCGUCUCCACCACUCUGCUGAGACAGCUCACCAGCCUUCUGAUUGGCAGGUCCAGAGGACUCUGCUAAGCCCACGGCCUUUGACCUCUGUGAGGUGUUUAAACCACCGACCACAUUCUGCUUCGUUGGCAACACGCUAAGGCCACCACCACACAAAUAAGCUCUGUCUCCUCACUUGCUGUUCGCUUUUCUCUGUUUUCCUAUGGCGUCUUUCUGGGCCAUUCUUUCUCGACUGAUUUAGCAAAAGUAAGGAUGCAUUUCAUUUCCCAUCUUUCAACUCUUUCUUAAAAGAUUUCAUUUUCUGUCAUUUUCUCUUCUUUGUUAGAGUUUUAUAUUGUUUUAGUUAUGGUGUUUUCCAAGGCCAGAUCUACACUUCUAGCCAUGCUCAGUUCUCUGUGGCGCAGACUCUUUUCGCUAACUGCUCUCUGGUUAAUUCUCCUGUUUAAAUGACAGGCAACUCAGAUCCAUAUGUCCAGUGUGCGUUCCACUGUGUACCACUCACGGUGUCAUAGUCUUUCCAUCUGUGUAGCUUCAAAUUGCCUCGUUCUUCUUACAGGCAUCAAGGGAUGCCGCCACUCACAUAUAAACAAACAAAAAACAAAACUAAAAACAACCUCAAAGGAACUUAUAUAUGGAAAACCAUAUUAUUCUAAAAUAAUUAAAUUUGCUUGCAAUUUACAAAAAGACUCAUUUUUUCAUGAAGAUAACACAACUAUCUUGGUUUUGUUUCUCUUAUUGUAAACAAAGUCAAGGCAAAAAAAUAGGAAUUUAUUGGCUCAUGAAACUAGAAACUCCAUGGAUUGACCUAGAGCAGUGGUUUUCAAAUGGAGCGUGCAUGGGACUCACCUGGAGGGCUUGUGAAAAGGUAUUGCUGAGCCCCACCGGGAGUUUCUAAUUCAGUGAGUCUGGGGCGGCUGAGAAUUUGCAUUUCCAACAAGGUCCCAAGUGAUGCUGCUGCUGCUAUGCCAGGGACCCCUCUCUGAGAAGCGCUGGCCCCGAGAUUCUGGCACUGCUGGAUCCCUGUGUUCAAUGAUAGUCCCAGGAAUCUGCCUGUUUCUCUCUUCACCUCUCCACAUUGUAUUCCUCUGGGUUUAUGUCCUGAUACUGUAAGCUCCUGGCAGUCCUAGGCCUGCAACUCUUCAGAUUUAGUAAUUUCAGGAAGAGACUUUCCCAACAUCCAUAUAAAUUUCCUAAAAGAUGGCUCUGGCUCCAUGUGGGUCACAUGCUCACCCCUGGACCGGUCACUUGGGUACCCUGUGGGGUAACCUGAUUCUCCAGCCUGGGUCCCAAGUCUACCCCCAGGUGACAGCUUCUUUAGUGACAGCUCUCCUGCCCACUUGCAUUCAGAAUCCUACUUAACGGAAGGAACAGAGCGUAGGGCAAACAAGAUGCGAUAGGUGUUGACAUACACCGAGCUGGGCAAGGGACUCAACCUCACGGAGCCUCACCUUACUUCCCCAGGUAAUUGGUUCAAUAAUACCCACACUUCAGGAUCACUGGGGGAUUAGAAAUAUCACCUGCUGGAAACAGCCAGCACACUGCCUGCCACAUAAAAUAUGUGGAAUCAAAGAUAGUUAGAUAUUAGGGGAAAAUUGCUUCGUCUGGGACUCCUCCUUCUCCCAGUAAAGGUGGUUCAUUAAAUGCCUGGCAACAGGCAGGUGGAGCCUGAUUAUUUAAUCAGCCAGGCAUGGCAGAUGCUCCCACUCCUGCAGAUGGCAACCAGGACCCCAGUGCCACCUGGGACCUGAUGUUCUGGGCACCCCUCGUCCAGUGGGGGCAAAAAUUCCUUACCUGCCUGAGUGUCAGGGCUGGGGCUGGAGCCGCCAGACCAUCCCCAUAUCAGGGCCAAGUGCAUAUGCUCCUGCUCCUUGACUAGUAACCACACCCUUUCCGUCCAUUUAUGUGAGAACUAAGGUCCUCCAUUGGAAAAUUAGGCAUAUGUUUAAGAAACACUCAUUCAAUUAGCACCUCUCAAGUGUCUGCAUCCCUUUGGUUAGAGAGGCUGGGGCACAAAGCCGGCUCCUUUCUUUUGCUAAGGUUCCUUUUUGUGUGGCUCUCACUCUUUCUUCUUUGUGGAAGCCUUCUCCAAGACUUUGGUAGUCACAGGUCUGCAAGGGUGCUGGGAGGUUAAAAUUUCCCUUCUGCUUAGCUGAUAAUUACAGCUCUAUAGCACUUUCUUGCCUCUGAGCUCCAAUACGCAGAGCUCCUCUAAGGAGCUUGUCUUAGGGUAAUUAGGGUACUCUGUUGUUUGGGAGGAGGGGUGGGUCAACUACCUGAACGUCUUUGCUUUCCAGUGGUGGGCUUCCAACCAUCCAGCAACCAGGAGGAUGAUGACUAUGAUAACUAUUAUUUGCUGAGCACUUAUUCUAUGCUGGCAUUGAAUCCUCACAAAACCCAGAUGGGGAAACUAAGGCUUGGUGAGAUAAACGCCUUGGGCAGGACCACCUAGCAACACACAGCACAGCAGAGCUGGAGAGCCAACUCUGCUCCGACGCCCCGUCUGCGAAGGCAGCCCUGGGCUGGAGUUCCCCUGUGCGGAACCGGGAACAUGGAGUUGUUGAUGUUGUUCUAAAUUGGAUUACAUACAAAUUCUCUCCCCCUGCAAUCUUCAGUGAGAUUCCUGGCAGUCGCUGAAGACUCACUGCUUAAUUGUUGCCACCAGGGAUUUUCUCAGAUCACUGCUCUGGGCCCAGGGCCAUCACGCCAAUUCACCACGCUGAAGAGAUGCCUUUGUUGGUGCAAAGGCAACCUCAGGUAAUCCACGUUUUGAUCCACCUCUGAUCUUAAGCACCAAAUUAAUUCUAGAAGUUGCAUAAGGAAAGGUCGACCCUUCUGUUUUCUUUGGGAGCGGCCGCCAACAGCGUGGUGGGUUGUGGGGGAUGGGGCGAGCCAGCUGGGCUUUGUCCCUGCCUUCGCCCCCUCUCUGCUUCCGUCACCGGGCAGCUGCGUUUGAGUAGCUGGAGAGUCCUGCUCCCGUGUCACUGGCAAGCGCGUGACUUAGAAUAGCCUGAGAUUAAAAUACUGGACUUCAAAUCCCCAGGAGUCAGACAGCCCUGUCGCAGUCAACUGGGAGACAGCACAGCACUUCCCUUCUUGGCGGGUAGACUUAUGUAUUUGAGCUACCCUUUAAUGGUUUAGAAAAGUUAAACAGAACCACAAUUUUGGAGGCCUCCUAUGGUUUUCUACCUUCCCUACAAUUCGGAUAUGGUUGAUAGGUGAGUGAACCAAGUCAGUGAAUGAAUAAACGAACCUAAUGAAAUCAAAUGCUUGAGAAGACGAACGAUGAUAAAUACGUCAUCUAAUUUCUAUUUGGGGCCAAUUAGAACUUCUUAAAGUUUUGGGACUAACUGGAAAGCAUUCACACUUUAUGGAGAAAAUAAAUCACUAAUUUUUGGAUAUCUCAUGCCACCAUGGAGACCACACAUUAUUUACCCGAGAAGAUUUACAAUAGCUGUCCUGUAAACCUUUACAGUGCUGCAUCCUGCGACUGUGCAAGUCAGGGCUCUCCCUCCACCUGAGUGGGGGCGGUUGAAAGAUGGUGGCAUCUGCCAAGGCUUUACUAGACACUUGAGGGGAGAACAGGCCUCGUUAUCCAGGCACCGCACGCCAUUGGGUCUGGCCACCUUUCUAACUGGCUUGUUUUCCCUUUUUUGGGGAGGUAUCACCUGUCGAGGGAGGAACGCCCAUCACCAGCUGACUGGGUGUUGAAUUUAAGGAAGUCUGGAGGUGACCAGAGAAACCUGCGAUUGAAUUUUCGUAUUAAUGAAAGUCUGCGUAAAUCAAGGCUCACACGGCUCUUACUGAAUAAAAUAUUAUACCUGGAGGCAGGAGGACGUGCUGUGUUUGACUAUCUUCAUUAAUCUGUAAGUUUGCUGUGCAAGGCUGUCAAGAAGAGACUUUCCCUUCCGUAUUUCUGUUUUCUCAGGUCAAGAAAAUGUUCUUUCCUUCGUAAGACCAUUCUCUUUUCCCUAAUAAACAACUGACCAUUUUUUCAAGGAUUUAUAAAGUGUCUUAGUCAUAUUCAGGUUCAAGGCUUGGCUGGGUAUAACUGUAGGCGACCGCUGCCCAGCAUUCUGCAUUUUAUUUUAUUUUUUUCUGCUUUAUCUCCCCAAAUCUCCCCUGUACAUAGUUGUAUAUCUUAGUUGUGGGUCCUUCUAGUUGUGGCAUGUCGCAUUUUAUAACGAUGAUGUUUUACUCAGUGAUAGUCAGGUCAGGUACGUUUUAAUUAUAAAGACCAUUGUGGGGUCAGUAUAGUAACUGACUGGAACUAUAGACAUGCUGCCCAGGCUGCUGGCUGUGGUCCCAGGCCAGGCUCUGUCAAUGAAGGCACGAAGGCAAGGUCAAAGCUUAAGCUCAGCCUUUAGUGGGGCAGUCAUCAUGAACUCUGGAAAACUCGAUACCUUAAAUAUUUUGGUAUGGUCCAAUCAAACAGUGUUCGUGACCUAGUUUGACAGUUAUCCAGGAGGUGCAAUAAGGUGAUUUUUCUUUUAAACUACCUUAUCAACCAAGCAGAUUCUUCCAUGUGGCCAUCUGCUCAUUUUGCAGCCCUCAGCUGUUCUUGGAGCCGAAAAAAAAAAUUCUGCUGUGGAAAAAUCAAUGUACUUCUCUCACAGAGACUUAGAUUUAAUAUGUCACAGGAAUAGAUGUCACAGAAAUACCUAAAUUGAUAACACCGAUUAUAACUCCAUUUGAUUGAGAGAUCUUGGGGUAAAUUAAGCACGGCUCAGUGUAGGGUUAAUCAGAUUAUUUAGGUUAUUGUUUUAAUAACGAAUUCAGCAAUUUUAGAGAGUAGACUAAGAAACCCGUAGCAAUUUCACACUGAAAACGAUUUCAGACUUCUGUCCUGUAGGAAAGUCUUGUUGAGACUAUUUUCUUGGUGUUUUUGAAACUGUGCUUCUGUUUGUAGUUUCAAAAAUAAAAGCUUUGAAUCUGGCUCCCUUUGGGGUUCAGCAAAUUAUCGCAGUAUGUUUUGGUUUGUAUUUGAGGUUCUGUUUGGGGCGAGUCCCAGAGUUGGUGCCGCGUUUGUGACCAGGGCCCGAUUUCAUCAGAGCACGUCCACAGCAGGAAGAGCCAGGUUGGCAGCACACAGCCAUGACUCCCCCACCACACCUGCAUUCACAGCCACGACUCUGCCUUCGCGCCCAGAGGGGAGAGCUUCUAGAGGCUUCUCUACUGUAGAUUGCCAGGGGUGACCCUAAGGAGAGACAGCGAAAGUGUCAGUUAGCCGAUGAACACAGAGAUCUGGGUGCCUGACUUCUCUCCCAGCCCCAGCACACCUGCUGCGGUGUGAAACAUGGCCCAGCGUGCUUGGGUUUGCCUCUGGAGCCUUGCGGAGGCUCCCGAAUCCACCAAGGGCCCCUCGCGGCCACCCCACACCCAGCCCUCCGUGUCCUUGAAGCCUGCACGUGCUGGGCUCUGCGGCAGGCCAUGGAGCCCCAUUUUCACAUUUGAGGAAAAUCCGACUCACAGAGGACUCAUGUUUGAAAGUCAUAGGACAAUAAAUGGUGGAGUUCAUUCAACUGCCUCUUGGCUCCCAAGCAGGUCUGUUUUCUAUCUUGCAGCCACCGUGAACACAGGUAGACAGUAGCAGGUAAAUUGUAAACUUCAACCUUUUUACAGGCAGAAUAUCUGUGAGGACCACAGGAGGAUAAUUAUAAAGAUCUCAUGCAAAUCAAAUAUUUUAAUACAGCAAAACCAGAUACCAGCAACCCUUUCUAGCUGACCUUAGCUGCAUUGUCGGCCAAGCAGUAUUUUCGUCAAUCAUCCAUAGAAAACCUGUUAUUUUUUUGGAAGCAGUGUCCCUCAUCCUUGCCACAGAAUGGCUUUUUCUGAAUAAAAAAUAGACUGUGGAGCCAGGAUCUAGUUUUUUGUUCCCCAGAAGUGGGCUGCCCUAUGGCUUGGGAGAGGGGGCAGGAACACACUUACAGCUGUUUCAUCAAGACCCCUUCACCUUGACACUCGGAGUAAGACACUGUUCAUCUGGUCGAGUAAACCCUGAAGGUCACCUAGUGGCUUGGUCACAAAAUCUAUAUAGAAAACGAAAUUUAUAUAAAUCUCUACUUUUCAUUUGCUCCAGAUUAAUUAAAUCAAGCAGGAGACUAGAAUAUGCUGCCAAUGCAGAAUAUGAAUAAAAUAAAGAAGUAUUUACAAGAACUGUGAUUACUGAUUCUAGUAUUUGGUAAAACUCAGAGUGUGAUUCGCUGUAGAGGUGUUUUUGGUUUUUUUCCUUCCUUUUUCAUUUGUCUUUUUAACCGAGGAAUGAUGUUUUCCAUUAUAUUUUCCUUUUUUUGUGUUUUGUGGCUGGUUUGCCCCACUUACAGUUCUCACUCACCUUCCUGAGCUACAUCUUCACACAUCAUUGCAGGGACCCUUUAAGUGAACAAAAUAGUCCCUUUGAACCGUGGAAUAGGUGAACGACCUUUUGAAAUAAACACACACUCUGGUGCAAUGCAGCCAGAAAAACCAAACGAAUUGACAGCCAAAUAAAAAGUGAUCGGUUCAAUUUAGGUACACCUGCCAGCUCAAGGCUGCCAGCCGGGAAAUUCCUACGCAUUUUCCUAAGUGGCUGUUACAUAAAAUAUUGAAGUCGUACGUGUCUGUAAGUAACCAUUGCUCUGGUAUUUAAAGAGCCUUGUUCUUUUAUUUUUCCUUCCCGGAAUGGAGAAUCAAGAGACCAGGGUGUACAUACUGAAAACGAGAAACCAAAUCAAACAGUGGCUUAUUCUUUAAAGUAAACAGAGCAAAGGCUAUUGGUGGAGAUGUGGCCAAGAGCUGCUCUGUGCAGACAAAGAGGAGAUUAUGAAGACAAAAAUCUCUUGCACUGAAAUAGUCAUCUUUAAUGACGGAACUGCUUUUAAUGUUUUUUAUUUGCAUGGAAUGUUAAGGGUAAAUGUUGCUGACAAAUACUAAUGAGAAAAUGGGAAAGACUGUUUAUAGAUUUGGGGGAGCUCUGAAAGUCCCUUCGCCCUUGGCCUGCACGGACCCUGCUUCUCCUUCAAAGCCUCACUGCGACCCCUCCUCUUCAGGGAGCCCCUGGACCACCCCAAUCCUUUCCAAUCUCCUCUCCUCCAUAUUUCUGAAACCCACAAAGUCGUGCUGUCAGUGCAACACUAUGUCACUUGGUUUAGCUUUUUCUCUUUAGCCAAUAACUGGGGGCACAAAGGCUGGCCCCAUCCAAGGUUCAUAUUUGAAAAACAACAAAAACCAGAGUGCUUUUGAUGAACUCUGUUCUGUUUUGUGUGGCAUCCCAGUCUAGCCAUCUGCACUGAAAGGAGUGGGGGUGCCUUACCUCUCUCUCUUUCCUCCACAGCCCCCAGCGCCAUACUGAGCGGAUCAUGAAUGACUGAUGGACGGGUGGAUGUGGAAAUGUGUCCGGGUGAUUGCACUCUGGCCUUAAAAGUUUAUUCAGAUAUUUGGAACAAGAUCACAGACUAUCUCCAACAGCUAGUAAAAUUCAGUCCUUUAGCCAACUGGUGGAAGGUGAGCAGGCUACCUGUAAAAUUGCUCCAGGGUCACCCUGCUGCCAGUUCACAGACAACUGGACCCCUGCUCUGGGUCACUGCUUCUGAUGGGGGGCUGCUCUCAGAGAACUGUAAAGUGCUGGGAUGGUGGUGGUGUUUGGCUUCUCAGGUCUGACCCUGGUUGGAGCCGUUCUGUGUGCUAACACGUCUGAGCUCUUCGAAAGAGGGUCAUUUCCACACGCUGCACGAUGUUGCAAUGGGAGCUGGGUGUUUCCCGACGAGAUGGCCGGACCCCAAGUUUCUGGGACGGGUCUCCUAUCAAAAGUCCUUAAACAGAAUAUGGCCAAGGAUCUAAAGCCCCUUUGUUAAGACAGGCAUUGCCAACCCACCUGUUCACCUUAAAAGCAAAUUCUUACUUUCGAUUCCAACAACAUUUCUUAUAAAUGUCACUCAAAGUACUAAUUUUCUUCUUCCACAAAAGCAGUAGUCUCUCUCAUACUGUUUUUUAUGAAGUUCUGUUGAGAACUGUGAAAUACUCAACUCCUGUUGUGUAGGGGGGACCAGCUACGAAUUCUAAGUGUAAAAUUAAACUUUACGGUCAAUAUAAGCAUCGUCUUCCAGCCCUGAUGAUUAGCACUGUGACACUACAUCUCCAUUAAAUGGUGACCGUGUGAG